rnacentral:rRNA from 1 species
UUCUGGUUGAUCCUGCCGGCGGGCACCGCUAUUGGAGUUCGCUUAAGCCAUGCGAGUCGAGAGGGGAAAGCCCUCGGCGCACUGCUCAGUAACACGCGGACAAUCUGCCCUCGAGACGGGGAUAACCCCGGGAAACUGGGAAUAAUACUCGAUAGGCCUGAGAUGAUGGAAGGCUCUCAGGUUCAAACCCUGCGGGGCUCGAGGAUGGGUCUGCGGCCUAUCAGGUAGUAGGGGGUUUCACAGACCCCCUAGCCGUAGACGGGUACGGGCUUUGGGAGAAGUCGCCCGGAGAUGGAUUCUGAGACACGAAUCCAGGUCCUACGGGACGCAGCAGGCGCGAAACCUCCACACUGUGGGAAACCACGAUGGGGGAACUCCGAGUGCCUACACUGUGUGUAGGCUGUUCUCGAGCCUAAAAAGCUCGAGAAGUAAGGGCCGGGUAAGACGGGUGCCAGCCGCCGCGGUAAUACCCGCGGCCCGAGUGGUGCUCAUUAUUAUUGAGUCUAAAGCGUUCGUAGCUGGCCGGGCAAAUCUCCGGGUAAAUCGGGCCGCUCAACGGUCCGAGUUCCAGAGACACUGCCCGGCUUGGGAUCGGGAGAGGGAGGAGGUACU